AACGAACGCUGGCGGCGUGCCUAACACAUGCAAGUCGAGCGAGAAAGCCCGCAAGGGUGAGUUAAGCGGCGCACGGGUGCGUAACACGUGGAUAAUCUGCCCUGAAGUCCGGAAUAACUCGCCGAAAGGCGUGCUAAUGCCGGAUGAGACCACGGGAGCUCCGGCUCCUGCGGGAAAAGGUGGCCUCUGUACACAAGCUAUCGCUACAGGAUGAGUCCGCGGCCCAUCAGCUCGUUGGCGGGGUAAUGGCCCACCAAGGCUACGACGGGUAGCUGGUCUGAGAGGACGAUCAGCCACACUGGAACUGAGACACGGUCCAGACUCCUACGGGAGGCAGCAGUGGGGAAUCUUGCGCAAUGGGCGAAAGCCUGACGCAGCAACGCAGCGUGUGUGAUGAAGGUCUUCGGAUCGUAAAGCACUGUCGCGAGGGACGAAUAAGGGGCGGGCUAACAUCCCGUUCCGAUGACGGUACCUCGAGAGGAAGCACCGGCUAACUCUGUGCCAGCCGCCGCGGUAACAC
rnacentral:rRNA from 1 species